rnacentral:lncRNA from 1 species
CUGCUAUGUCACGAGAACUCAAGCCACCCUGUGGAGAAUUCCACACGGAGUGCAGCUGAGGCCUCCCAACAACAACCAGCAGCAAUUUGCAAACCAUGUGUCUCCUACAGCUACUGGUGUGUUUUUUGCAUAUUGGCCUUCCAACAUUUCUUGUUGAAUUAUUUCAGGCUCACCUUGGUCAUAAUGAGUGGAUCUGGCUUUACCCAGGGCUUCAGCCUUUAGCAUUUCACAUGAGGAAUAUCCACUGAGCUGGGGGUCAAGAGGCCUGACCUUUAAUCUUGGCUCUGCCCCAGGCAAGUGUGAACUUGGGUAAGAACACUGAGGCCAGGAAAUGUUGAGUGACGUGUCCAUACUCACAUAGCAUGGAAGAAUCAGAGGCCAUGGGGUCAGGACCUAUGGGCUUAGGAUAUACCGGAAGAGGCCUGAUUUCCAGUCGAGCAUUUGCCAAAAAUCAGCAGCGUGA